GAGGGUAUAGUUCAGUGGUAAAGCACAUGCUUAGCAUGCACAAGGUCCUGGGUGCAACCCCCAGUAUCUCCA
rnacentral:tRNA from 1 species